rnacentral:hammerhead_ribozyme from 1 species
AUUCAGCUGACGAGUCCUAAAUAAGACGAAACACGCGUCCUGGAU